UACGUAGGGUGCGAGCGUUAAUCGGAAUUACUGGGCGUAAAGCGUGCGCAGGCGGUUUUGUAAGCCAGAUGUGAAAUCCCCGGGCUUAACCUGGGAAUGGCAUUUGGGACUGCAAGGCUGGAGUGUGGCAGAGGAGACUGGAAUUCCCGGUGUAGCAGUGAAAUGCGUAGAUAUGCGGAGGAACACCGAUGGCGAAGGCAAUCCCCUGGGCCUGCACUGACGCUCAUGCACGAAAGCGUGGGGAGCAAACAGG
rnacentral:rRNA from 1 species